rnacentral:lncRNA from 1 species
CUGCUGCUUCAAAGUAUGAAUGCAAAAAAAAACCAUAUCUACAGAACAACCAGCUCUCCUCCCCCUGUGGUUUCCUCAGCCUUUUCUGCUAUUAUGUGGGAAACUUUUCUGUGACAGGUCUUAGUGCUGCGAUAAGGAAGUAACCUGCAGUGCAUAUUCUGUAAUUAGCAUGGCAUCCCACCCUCAGAGCAGGCUUUCUUGCCUUGCUCUCCUGUGUAAAGUUGGUCUUCCUAAACUAUGGAAUUGGUGCUUGGGAACAUUCUGUGAAGAUGGUGGCUUCAGGAGAUGCUGGUGUCCAUGUUGUUUAGGAGGAGACUUGUAGAGAUGGAAUUGAGCAAGGUCACCUUGCCUUCAAAACCCGUGCUGCUUCAUGUACUCUUCUUGCAGGAUGUUGAGCACUUUUAAGACUUGAGAAUGCUGUCUUUUCAAACCACCAUUGAGAAAUGCAGCAUGUUGCAAAGCUGAACUCCAAGUUAUACUUCUAAGGAUGCAAUAGACCAGAUUGUUACGCAUAAACGAACACACAGCUAGAUGAUUAAUUUCUCAUUUGGCAAGCAUAGAAGAUGGUUCUUAUUUUUAGUAAUUGUAGAGGACAAGCAACUAACUUUGGCCCUCAAAUUUAGAAUUGGAGAAGAGUACUGAUAACAAAACAGAGAAGGGGGAGAACUCAUAGCUGAUUUCCUACCUUUUUGCUGCCUUCAGUAACCCCUUGGUGAGCAAACCCUGCACAGUUUGAUGUCCUGCAUCACCCAUGUGCAGUGGCGACACCGGAGCACGCUCUCCGCCUCUGAGCAAACUCAUUCAGGAGCUCAUCCUACUCAGUUCACCCAAGGAAUUAAGCACUUGCUUUGAAGUUUGAACACAGGCGUAUGUUUCACUGACAGACUUCUUAUACUGGCGUGCAUUUCUUCGAAAUGUAGCCUUUCACUGGCAUCUGUUAAUAUCCCUUUCUUGGUAUAGUAUUCUGUGUGCGUGCACCCCCGUACUCUGGAUGUGCUAAAGACUCUUUUUUAAAACCUUGUGUGGAGCAGGAAUCAGGACAUGGAAACAAGGAAGUUUCACGUUUGCUUACUUUAUUGCACAUUGCAGCGUUUAGGGGUCUCAAGUUUAUUCUUCGAUUCCUUCGUUUAAAGCCACCUUGAAAGUUGGUGAUUUUUGUCUACUCGAAACAAAACAAGCAAAUUGCAUUCCGGAAUACGGUGACUGAACUGAAAACCAAAGCAGCUUGCUUUUGUGGUUUCCAUUUCUAUUUCCUUGCAUUUUUCAAUCCAGUUUUGGGCAUUCGUUUUAUUAAUGUCAAACUGAGCUUACAGUGAGCCUUACUGAGAUGUGAGAUGAAGAGAAGGUAUAUUGCCUCACACUUUAAAUUUAAUUCUAAGGGCUUGCUCAUGCCCCAGAAAUCACCUCCGCCAGCACAAGCAUUGCACAAAUUGUGCUGUCAUAAGCAGCUCAAUCUUGAAAUACUUUGGAGUUUCCAAUCUGCAUCGUCUCUCACGACACAGCGU